GAUGAACGCUGGCGGCGUGCCUAAUACAUGCAAGUCGAGCGAACGGACGAGAAGCUUGCUUCUCUGAUGUUAGCGGCGGACGGGUGAGUAACACGUGGAUAACCUACCUAUAAGACUGGUAUAACUUCGGGAAACCGGAGCUAAUACCGGAUGAUAUUUUGAACCGCAUGGUUCAAAAGUGAAAGACGGUCUUGCUGUCACUUAUAGAUGGAUCCGCGCUGCAUUAGCUAGUUGGUAAGGUUACGGCUUACCAAGGCAACGAUGCAUAGCCGACCUGAGAGGGGGAUAGGCCACACUGGAACUGAGACACGGUCCAGACUCCUACGGGAGGCAGCAGUAGGGAAUCUUCCGCAAUGGGCGAAAGCCUGACGGAGCAACGCCGCGUGAGUGAUGAAGGUCUUCGGAUCGUAAAACUCUGUUAUUAGGGAAGAACAUAUGUGUAAGUAACUGUGCACAGCUUGACGGUACCUAAUCAGAAAGCCACGGCUAACUACGUG
rnacentral:rRNA from 1 species